rnacentral:rRNA from 1 species
UACGAAGGGGGCUAGCGUUGCUCGGAAUCACUGGGCGUAAAGCGCACGUAGGCGGAUCUUUUAAGUCAGGGGUGAAAUCCCCCGGGCUCAACCUGGGAACUGCAUUUGUGACUGUAGAGCUGGAGUGCGGCAGAGGGGGAUGGAAUUCCGCGUGUAGCAGUGAAAUGCGUAGAUAUGCGGAGGAACACCGAUGGCGGAAGGCGGGUCUCUGGGCCGAUAUUGACGCUGAGGAGCGAAAGCGUGGGGAGCAAACAGG